rnacentral:misc_RNA from 1 species
AACUGUUCCCCUCUGGAGGUUUUUACCUUCACAACUAUACGGGCCCGAGAGAGAUCUUGAGGCCCUUUUUUUUGCUUGAA